GAUCAUAUGCUUGUCUCAAAGCUUAAGCCAUGCAAGUCUAAGUUCAGGCUUGUUCCUUUCGGGGAGCGAGCCGAAACUGCGAACGGCUCAUUAGUCAGAUAAGGUUCCUUGGCGAAAAGCGGGUCGGUUUAAUGGAUAACUGUGGUAAUUCUAGAGCUAAUACAUGCAACGCACCGUGGUCCCCUGACCCGCCUUCUCCUUCGUGUGGCGGCGGUCGGGGAAACGGCAUUUAUUCUCUGGACUAGAUCGCCCUAGCCUGCGAAGCUACCGUCAAAAGUAGCGACGGGGCGAAGCGACAAGUGUUGAAAUCCGAAUAACUGUGCCGAUCGCGGGGUCUUUCCGGGCCCCCGACGACUUUGCCAUGAAGUGUCUGUCCCAUCAAUUGGCGAUGGUCGGCGACCUGCCUACCACGGUGUUGACGGGUAACGGGGAAUCAGGGUUCGAUUCCGGAGAGGGAGCCUGCGAAACGGCUACCACCUCCAAGGAGGGCAGCAGGCGCGCAACUUACCCAAUCCCGACACGGGGAGGUAGUGACGAAAAAUAACGUGGCGGGGCCCUUUCGUGGUCGCCGCGGGCGGAAUGAGCGCAAUUUAAAAGAGUGUGCGAGGAGCUAUUGGAGGGCAAGCCUGGUGCCAGCAGCCGCGGUAAUUCCAGCUCCAAUAGCCUAUAUCGGAGUUGCUGCGGUUAAAAAGCUCGUCGUUGGAUCUCGGAGGCGGCACGGUCGGGCGCGAUACGCUGCGGGUCCGACCGGCGAUUUCUCGGCCGUCCCUAACCGGCGCGCGGGGCGAGGUGGACCUCGCGGUCCUGCCUCGUUUUUCUCCUUCGCGGGAGAGAACCCGCCGCAAUUUUUGUCUACCUUGAAAAAAUUAGAGUGCUAAAGGCAGGCUAAAACCCCGAGCCUGAAUAUUUCGUGCAUGGAAUAAGCGGGGAUGCUCUUUUCCGGAGGGUGGUCCGACCGACUCGGCGACGUCGCUUUCGCUGUCGGUUUUGCCGGAGAGCUAGGAUUCGAGAGGAACGGUGGGGGGCGAGCGUACCGGGCGGG
rnacentral:rRNA from 1 species